rnacentral:rRNA from 1 species
CACGUAGGGGGCAAGCGUUGUUCGGAAUCAUUGGGCGUAAAGGGUGCGCAGGCGGCCGUCCAAGUCUGGUGUGAAAGAUCCCGGCUCAACCGGGAGAACGCGCUGGAAACUGGAUGGCUAGAGUACAGGAGGGGGAGUUGGAAUUCCAGGUGUAGGGGUGAAAUCUGUAGAUAUCUGGAAGAACACCGGUGGCGAAGGCGAACUCCUGGCCAUGUACUGACGCUGAGGCACGAAGGCGUGGGGAGCAAACAGGUUUAGAUACCCUGGUAGUCCACGCAGUAAACGAUGCACACUAGGUGGUGGGUGGUAGCACUCAGUACCGUAGCAAACGCGUUAAGUGUGCCGCCUGGGGAGUAUGCUCGCAAGGGUGAA